rnacentral:tRNA from 1 species
CUUAGUAAGUUUCCAUACCAAGGCUCAAUCCAAUUAAGUC